rnacentral:rRNA from 1 species
UACGGAGGGGCUAGCGUUGUUCGGAAUUACUGGGCGUAAAGCGUGCGCAGGCGGUUAUGUAAGACAGAUGUGAAAUCCCCGGGCUCAACCUGGGAACUGCAUUUGUGACUGCAUAGCUAGAGUACGGUAGAGGGGGAUGGAAUUCCGCGUGUAGCAGUGAAAUGCGUAGAGUAUGCGGAGGGAACACCCGAUGGCGAAGGCAGCCCCUGGGCUAACACUGACGCUCGAUGCACGAAAGCGUGGGAGCAAACAGG